CCUACGUGCGGCAGCAGUGAUGAAUAUUGGUCAAUGGUCGGGAGACUGAACCAGCCAAGCCGCGUGAGGGAUGAAGGUACAGAGUAUCGUAAACCUCUUUUGUCAGGGAACAAAGGCGGGGACGCGUCCCCGGAUGAGUGUACCUGAAGAAAAAGCAUCGGCUAACUCCGUGCCAGCAGCCGCGGUAAUACGGAGGAUGCGAGCGGUAUCCGGAGUUAUUGGGUUUAAAGGGUGCGCAGGCGGUCUGUUAAGUCAGCGGUCAAAGCCCGGGGCUCAACCCCGGCCCGCCGUUGAAACUGGCAGUCUCGAGUUGGAGAGAAGUAUGCGGAAUGCGCGGUGUAGCGGUGAAAUGCUUAGAUAUGACGAAGAACCCCGAUUGCGAAGGCAGCUUGCUGCAGCGGAACUGACGCUGAUGCUCGAAAGCGCGGGCAUCGAACAGGAUUAGAUACCCGGGUAGUC
rnacentral:rRNA from 1 species